CUGCAGUGAAGAAUGACAGGGAGGGGAGAGUGGAGACGGUGAAUCUCUAAUGACGUCCCUCUGUCUAGGAUCCCACUUUCCUCAGUGUUCUUGGGGCAGGAGCCGAACAGGGAUGGAGUUUUACGAAAACGAGAAAGAACGAAUCUUCAGCUCCUAGAGACGUUUAUCAAAAUAUACCUAGCUGGGCAGUCACCAUACAGGACACGCAGCUUGACCUCGCUUCUCGGAAAAGCGAUCAUUCCACUGUGGGACCAUGGGCUGCUUCUGAGCUGUCACCAUUUAAGUAUUAGGAGGCUUCACAAAAACAAGUUUCCAGGAGGUCCUGAAAAUUCAGAUGUUCUGGUAACGCUGGGCCCACAUUCCUGCAAGGGAACCCAGCUGGAUCUGCCCCAAAGGUGAGCACCGUGUCAUUGGAUCAUGUAUCUGUCUGGGUCUCAGCCACUCCUGCUGAGUUCUGCCUUUCCACAGAAAAUUGUUCCCCUCUGGAUAUAUCGAUAGAAAGAAACCUA